AGGGAAGAGCCGAGGCGCCGCCGCCGCCGGUACCGUUAUACCUGCCUCGGCCCCCGCCCCCCGGCCGUCGCCUCGGAGCCCCAGCAUCCACCAGCGCCGCGGCGCCGGGCCCGCUCCCCGCCUGCGCCUCGACCCGGCCCGCUCCGACGCCCUCCCCGGCGGAGGCGGUGGGUUAUUCUCAGGCUUAUUCCCGGCGGUGGCGGCGCCGCUAACCGCUGCCCGGCGAGCGGCAGUGCCCGCCCAGCAGCUGUGCCGCUGCCGCCGCCGCUGCCUCCUCACGCUCCCCCUCCCAGUCCUUCCGGCCCGGCCCGCCCCCCGCGGAGAUGCUGCCGCCGUUCGGAAUAACCCUGGGGCGCGAGCAGCUGCCUGCGGCGCUGGCCGGCGCUGAAGCUCAGAACUGUGACUGCCGCCGCUGCUACAGGCGCCACUGUUGUUGUGAAGCCCCGACGCCGCCGCUCACUCCGCCAUGUUGCCGCCCCCUGCCUGCGGUAGCGGCCACUGCGCCUGCGCAGAGCCUCCGGGGGGGCGGAGCCCUCGUGCACCCCCUCUUUCGCCCUGCCCUCCUUCCCCUUCCACCCACCCAGCCCGACACCCCUCGUCCCUCCCCCAACCGCCCUGAACGGAUAGACAGGAAGAGGUUCGUCAUCUUCGUCGUCGCAUCCAGCAGCUGCUACAGCCAGUGCCACGUGCCUUGUAAGUUAUGUGUGUUUAAUUUUGACAUAGAUUGGCAGGAACCCACAACACUAAUGACGUCAUUCAUAUGCCACAAACUUCUCAGCAAUUCCUAAGGUUACCCACAUAGCUUCCAGUUAUUAAAAUGUGAGUUGACAUUGGAUAUUUUUGUAUCUCUACUUUCUUUUCCUAUUUGCUAGUUCUUUGGAUUGUCCUAACCUGGAAUGUUUAUAGAAUUCAUAAUGUCUUUUACAUUGCCUUGAUACCUUUACUAAUGUCUAAACUGAAAAUGUCUUAUAUUGAAUCACUGUAAAACAUAUAUUAACUUCUCACAUGUAAACAAUACUGUUAAUUGUUUUGAAAGCAAACCAGAGAGAUAUGGUCUCAGCACUCUAGAACUGUAAAAUAUAAUCUAUUUGAUUUUUAAAUAAGCAAAAUGCCAAAGGAAAUAUAAUCAUAUACGACACAGUUUAGAUCAAGAGGUGCAGUGAAACUUAGAACUUAGCAACUAUAAACAUGAAAUAGUGUAACUGAAACAUCAAUCCUUUGAGCUUUGUGACCAUGUACUAUUCAAUAAGCAUUAACUGAAAAUGAAAUUUCAUGUAGACUAAUAAAUUAAUAAGAACUUAUUCCUCCA
rnacentral:lncRNA from 1 species